rnacentral:rRNA from 1 species
AGUGAACGUUGGCGGCGUGGAUUAGGCAUGCAAGUCGAGCGAGAACCGUAGCAAUACGGGGACAGCGGCGAAAGGGACAGUAAUGUGUAGGUACCUACCCCGAGGUCUGGGAUAGCUGCGGGAAACUGCAGGUAAUACCGGAUAAUGUCUUCGGACCAAAGGUGUGAUUCCACCUUGGGAGGGGCCCGCAUCCUAUUAGCUAGUUGGCGGGGUAACGGCCCACCAAGGCGACGAUGGGUAGCGGGUGUGAGAGCACGACCCGCGUCAUUGGGACUGAGACACUGCCCAGACACCUACGGGUGGCUGCAGUCGAGGAUCUUCGGCAAUGGGCGCAAGCCUGACCGAGCGACGCCGCGUGCGGGAUGAAGGCCUUCGGGUUGUAAACCUCUUUCGUAGAGGAGGAAGGGGCCGUGCAGAGCGGUCUUUGACCUAUUCUAGGUAGAAGCUUGGGCUAAGUUCGUGCCAGCAGCCGCCGUAA